AUGAACUGGAUCCCCUUCUUCCUCACUUUCCUCGCUCACUGCACAGGCCCUGUGGCCUCCUAUGAGCUGACUCAGCCGCCAUCAGUGUCCGUGGCCCUAGGACAGACGGCCAGCAUCUCCUGUGGAGGAAACAACAUUGGAAGUAAAUAUGCCUACUGGUACCAGCAGAAGCCAGGCCAAGCCCCUGUGCUGGUCAUCUAUAAUGAUAGCAACCGGCCCUCAGGGAUCCCUGACCGAUUCUCUGGCUCCAACUCAGGAAACACGGCCACCCUGACCAUCAGCAGGACCCAGGCCGAGGACGAGGCUGACUAUUAUUGUCAGGUGUCAGACAGUGAUACUGCUCACAGUAACACAGGCAGAUGGGGAACAGAGACAUAA